GAGGCUUUAGCUCAGCUGGGAGAGCGCCUGCCUUGCACGCAGGAGGUCAGCGGUUCGAUCCCGCUAAGCUCCACCA
rnacentral:tRNA from 1 species